CACUAUUAGAAUUAUAUUAGAACCCUUACAAUAGAAUUCCCAAACCUUAUUCUAUAUUUUUCACUUGUCAAUACUGUUGAAAUUUUCAAACAUUUCUCACUGAUUUGUGGUUUCUCGCUAUAAGCUGAUUCACAGAGACACCAAUUGAGAAAUUGAAUGCAUUCCCUCCGAGACAGCACCAAUGAAAUCGUUUCUGUUGGGUCUUCUUUGUUCUAGCCCUAACAACUUCCCAACAGAAAUAAUCCAAAAUAUUUCAAUUGAAGUUGUCCGUGACAUUGCUGAAUCUGCUGUUUCAGGGCUUCAAAUUCUGUAAUCAAGGCGGUGAUCUCAUCAACUAAGC